rnacentral:rRNA from 1 species
AGUGAACGCUGGCGGUAGGCCUAACACAUGCAAGUCGAACGGCGGCACAGUAAGAGCUUGCUCUUACGGGUGGCGAGUGGCGGACGGGUGAGGAAUACAUCGGAAUCUACUUUUUCGUGGGGGAUAACGUAGGGAAACUUACGCUAAUACCGCAUACGACCUACGGGUGAAAGCAGGGGAUCUUCGGACCUUGCGCGAUUGAAUGAGCCGAUGUCGGAUUAGCUAGUUGGCGGGGUAAAGGCCCACCAAGGCGACGAUCCGUAGCUGGUCUGAGAGGAUGAUCAGCCACACUGGAACUGAGACACGGUCCAGACUCCUACGGGAGGCAGCAGUGGGGAAUAUUGGACAAUGGGCGCAAGCCUGAUCCAGCCAUACCGCGUGGGUGAAGAAGGCCUUCGGGUUGUAAAGCCCUCUUGUUGGGAAAGAAAAGCAGCAGGUUAAUACCCCGCUGUUCUGACGGUACCCAAAGAAUAAGCACCGGCUAACUUCGUG